rnacentral:rRNA from 1 species
CCUACGGGGGGCAGCAGUGGGGAAUAUUGGACAAUGGGGGCAACCCUGAUCCAGCCAUGCCGCGUGUGUGAAGAAGGCCCUCGGGUUGUAAAGCACUUUCAGUGAGGAAGAACGCCUGGUGGUUAAUACCCAUCAGGAAAGACAUCACUCACAGAAGAAGCACCGGCUAACUCCGUGCCAGCAGCCGCGGUAAUACGGAGGGUGCGAGCGUUAAUCGGAAUUACUGGGCGUAAAGCGCGCGUAGGUGGCUUGAUAAGCCGGUUGUGAAAGCCCCGGGCUCAACCUGGGAACGGCAUCCGGAACUGUCAAGCUAGAGUGCAGGAGAGGAAGGUAGAAUUCCCGGUGUAGCGGUGAAAUGUGUAGAGAUCGGGAGGAAUACCAGUGGCGAAGGCGGCCUUCUGGACUGACACUGACACUGAGGUGCGAAAGCGUGGGUAGCAAACAGGAUUAGAUACCCGAGUAGUC